rnacentral:RNase_P_RNA from 1 species
AUUUUCGGGUGAUCGCGGUUUGCUUUUGCAAGCUGAGGAAAGUCCAUGCUCGCACAAGCUGAGAUGCUUGUAGUGUUCGUGCUUAGCGAAAUCAUAAGCUAAGGUACUCUUUUAGAGUAACGGCAGGAAAAAUGACUAAGGUUUCGACUAUGUCAAAGUAUCCUUGAAAGUGCCACAGUGACGAAGCGAUGUGGGAAACUCCA